GCCUCCAUGGCCUAGUGGUUCAGUCCCAUCGAAUCGAACUUUGUCUCGAUUAGACGAGGUCGAGGGUUCGAAUCCCUCUGGAGACA